rnacentral:rRNA from 1 species
AAUGGAUUAAGAGCUUGCUCUUAUGAAGUUAGCGGCGGACGGGUGAGUAACACGUGGGUAACCUGCCCAUAAGACUGGGAUAACUCCGGGAAACCGGGGCUAAUACCGGAUAACAUUUUGAACCGCAUGGUUCGAAAUUGAAAGGCGGCUUCGGCUGUCACUUAUGGAUGGACCCGCGUCGCAUUAGCUAGUUGGUGAGGUAACGGCUCACCAAGGCAACGAUGCGUAGCCGACCUGAGAGGGUGAUCGGCCACACUGGGACUGAGACACGGCCCAG